rnacentral:rRNA from 1 species
CCUACGGGUGGCAGCAGUGGGGAAUAUUGCACAAUGGGGGAAACCCUGAUGCAGCGAAGCCGCGUGAGUGAAGAAGUAACUCGUUAUGUAAAGCUCUAUCAGCAGGGAAGUAAAUGAAGGUACCUGAGUAUGAAGCCCCGGCUAACUACGUACCAGCAGCCGCGGUAAUACGUAGGGGGCCAGCGUUAUCCGGAUUUACUGGGUGUAAAGGGAGCGUAGACGGCAGGGCAAGUCUGGAGUGAAAGGCGGGGGCUCAACCCCCGGACUGCAAUGGAAACUGGAAGGCUGGAGUGCAGGAGAGGUAGGUGGAAUUCCUGGUGUAGCGGUGAAAUGCGUAGAUAUUAGGAGGAACACC